rnacentral:siRNA from 1 species
UGGAUCCGGCGGCAGAUGCGGA